AUUCAAUCGCCCUUAAUAUGAAUAAAUAGCAUACUGAACCCAAAACCAAAAAGGAAUAAACAGCAUUUACUUUGCUAAUUACUUGCAUAUUCAAGCUAAAUAUAUAUGGGAAGGAAUUUCGGUUUUGUAUUAUUACAUAAUCCUGCAAAUAUAUGUACGAACAUGAUGAAGGAACUUCCUCGAUACAGCCCAGAAUUGCAGUUUUAGUUACAAACAAAAUACAUAACUGUUCUCUGACAAUUCAGAUUAGCAAUGAUUUUAAUAUAACUCAUGAGAGAGGCUACUCAUACCUAUACAAAUACAGAAGGAGCAACCCUGCAUUCUUAACCUGCAGGUUCCGCUUUCAUGAGUUCAGUUGCCUUGCAAAUCAUUUAGAUGAGUAACAAAUCUACAGAUGCCUGGAAUCGAAAAGGUUCUGUUAGUGGGUACAUAACUGUAGAGGUUUACCAUUACUAGUUGUAGACUAGAUCUCUGAAAUCUGUUCAGAAUGCUCCCAAUAUAUCCCACACCAAUUAUUAACUGGUUUUGGUGGAAGUACUCUUUCAUUAUUUGCUCUCCAUCUGUAUCAACUGGAGUGGAGACUUCAGCAACUUCUUCAACGACUCCACUAUAUUGCCGAAAGAUGGGCGUUGAGCUGGAUCAUCGGCCCAGCAAGAUUCCAUAAGAGAAGCCAACACAGGGGAGGCAUUUUGCGGUAUGGCAAGCCUUCUAUUUUGGAAAGCUACAGCUCCAACCACCUGCGCAGGACCAAGUCCAUUCCAAGGCUGUUGCAUGGUGACCAACUCCCAUAAGAUGACUCCAAAGCUAUAGACGUCAGAUUUCUCAUUUGAGGGCUCUCCACGAAGGAAUUCCGGAGCCAUCCACUCGGGCUGAAAAUAGAAGCAAGAGUUACAUGCUGAUUGAUGCACUGCAAAGUAAAUUAUCAGCCUGCACGAUAUUGUGGAUAUCCAGCUUUCUAUGGAAUAAUAGCUACUGGCUGAGUAAAUGUGAAGGGGACUACACCAGAGAACAAAAUCAGCAACAAAAUUGCUCAGUUAUUGGUUUGGCCUGUUCCAGCUACUGAUUUUGAUGAUAUAAAUGUGUUUGCUUUAAAUCUAGACAACCCAAAGUCACACACCUUUACUGUCCAAUUUUUAUCAACCAACAAAUUUGGAGAUUUAAGGUCCCAGUGAACAAUAGGAGGGUUCAGACAAUGAAGAUAAUUGAUGCCCUUUGCCACAUCCAGUGCCAUUCGUAACCGCCGCCUCUGAUCCAGCAUUUCCCCAGCAGCAGGCCUGUGUAUUAGGCGGUAUAGGCUACCCCGAGGCAGGUACUCUGUCACAAUUGAUAGAUGAGGACGCUUUGUAACAGCACCCAUGAAGAGAACCACAUUUGGAUGACGAACACGUUUCAUUAUUGCAACCUGAAGAAAGUGUUCGUUUGAACUUGAGUAGUUGCAUGUCAUCAUUUGUCAAAAACUCGUGGGAGGGAGAUAUCCAAAGUUGGUUACCUUUUAUACAGAGGCUCAAAUUCACAAUAUUAACCUUUAAUCACAGACAUGGACACUUGACAAACAAUUUUAACCAAUGAAUGCAUGAGGUGUGGUCUACAAUAGCUUGACUGCAAAUUCUAUAUAGACAAAUAAGGAAGAGUGCAACUAAAACCAUAUGUAGACCAAGCAAGGAAAGCACCAAAAUUUUCCACUCGCAAAACUAGCUAAAAUGAAAUAUUUCCAGAAUAUCAUGCUCUAGAACAUAGAUUCCAACAAGUGAAAAACACGUACCAACAAGCUAAGUAGGGUGCAGAAACUGGAGACAAAGGACCAAAUAUUUUGGAACAUGCAAAGAAAUCUCACAGGGAAGAAGACUAGAUAUUGUAACUGAAUAUUGAAUAUGUAAAAAAAAAUGGAUCAAUAGUGAACAUAAGAAAUGGACAUCACAGUUGCAUAUUACUGAAAGAAAGAUUGAGCAUAUUACUCAAUGAUAUCAAGUUUAACCAAAUACCUACCUCUCUUAAAAACUCCCUUAACUGAUCAUCAUGAAAAUCUUGAACAGUUAAAACCUUGACAGCAACAUCCGAUCCAUGCCAUUCAGCACGAUGCACUGUCCCAAAGGAACCAGCACCAACACGCUCCUUGAUAUGUAAUUCAUCCCAUGAGAUCUCAAGCCAGUCCAUUGCAAGUGAAGGUUCAAGAUUCAAAUAUCUCGGAACAGUUGCAGCAGGUAAUCUUCCUUGAUUGUGAAGCCUACUCUCCACCUCCAUCACAUCUGACUGACAGGAAAAGUUCAAUUUAGUUUGCUUGCCAACAUUGUCAAUUAUUGGAUUUCCAGACACCACAAUCUGCUUUUUGUAAGUUUGUUGUAUUACAACUUGAUCUGCUUCAAGUUCUAGGCUAGAACUUUCAAGCAUAGAUUGCCCUGCUACAUCAAGAGGUUCCACAUUCCUUGUUAAAUCCAAAGGAACCAGAGAUGACUCAUUUCCAAGAGAGGUUUGAUCAACUGGAACAUAAGAGGAAAACUUGAGAUUCCCCCUUGUUUGUGGGCCUUCUCCUUCCCUGCCUGAACAUAGAGGAUUUUCUGUCAAAGCCCAUGAAUUCUUUGAGCCUAGAAUCUGACAAGAUGCUUUAUCCAUGUACGGAUGUUGAAACUCUUUCAAAUGAGAAAUUUGAAAUGGUGAUGGAAUUGAAGAUAUAAACCCUCCAUUGAUAGUGGAAUCUGGACCAUGGACAUUUCCUGGCUGCCCAACUAGAUCAACCACAUAUUCCCUUGACAACUGUCUGUCGUCCUCAAUUUUGACAAGGCAAGAAGACCUGUGAUCUGCUGCACAAUACUUGCAGCCUCGAGCUAUCCGACAUGGCAAACCUAUGUAAUCUGCCAAUUUCUUGAAUAGAAUUGCACGAUGCCUGCAAAGUCCCAUGGAUAGGCCACCAAUAGGAAGAACAAUACACUUAUGGAAGUCCCUCAAUCUCCUGCUAACAACUUUCCAGCGUUUAUGAAGAUCACCUUGCUCCACCGGGAAAGUUCCCCCCAUGCAAAUAGCAACCAGUUUUCCCAGUUUCUCCACUAACACCAACGUAUUUUCUGAAGCACAAUAGAUCUCAUGCGCCUUAUCCUCUAACUCCUUAAGGCGUGAGUCGCCACGCCCAUCAACGAGAACCACCUCCAUUGAUGUCUCACUGGUGUCAAUUUCUCUGAGGGACAUUAAAGGGGGCAAUCGUCUUCCUUCCUCUUCAUCAUUGCACAUAACCCACAGAUACGGAUUCAUCCCAAGAAUAUUAUAGAAUCCAUCCGAUAUUCUGUCGCUGUAUGAUAAGCAUCCACUAACCCAGAGGCGAUAAGAUACGGUUUCUGCAUCGAAGGACUCAGGCCCACCCUCCUGUAAAAGCACAAACUCACUAGCAAGGCCAGAUUGAUAACUAAGCCUCUUAGCUAAAGCAAGCUGCAAAUGGUAAGUUUCUCGUGUCCUCUGCGCCGCCUUCUCAUCAUUCUUCUCCUCCUUCUCCUCCUCUACCACCACCACUUCCUCCUCCUCUUCCUCCUCCUGCACCACUUCCUGCCUCGUGAAGGUCGUCGCAGUGUCCUUAACAUAGCUCAAAAAGUUCCCGUCCAAUGUAGUCCCCGAGAACAAGCUACCCGCAUAGCUACUCCCACUGGACAGUCUCGGCAAGGACACCUGACGAUCGAAAUUGCGAUCAACAUCCCUCUCCUCAAUAAUCUCCGGAAUCACCUCCGGCUCCGGCGCUGGAGGUUCCGCAGUAAUCAAGAGCUGGCGAUCCUCAUCAUCAAACGAUAAUCUUUUUAACUUGACGCGAGAAGCCGAUCGGUCAGCUUUUUUCUCGGCGAGCCAGUCAUAAAAGGCAGCAAGUUGCUUUUUCUUCUUUUGGAACUUAUUGUCUUCGCCAAACUGAUUCUUCUUUUGAUGAUACUUUUCGUCAUCGCUGCUCGUGAAGAGAUCGGAUACAGUAGUUGGCGUAGUAGCAGUCGUAGUUGGCGUUGGCGAUUUAGUCUUGCCAACUGUAGAGGAGUCAUUUCGGUGGUCAUUUUCGAUGUUAAAAGUAUCUUUGACAAGCUUCUUCUUCUCGUGAUCCAACAGCUGUUUAGAAGAUACAUCGAGUCCGGACCGAUCCGGAAAUUGCCUGGGGAAGAAGUAAGUCGUUCUGUGAGGCAUUUUUUCACGGACUUCACUGCUCCAAGCAGAAAAAACGACCGCUUUUUAUGAGCUUUGACAGAAUUCUUCUUCUCUCUUUCUCGCAAACACAAAAUUCAGGUCAUGUUAAAACUUCGAAUCAAUAAAUAAAACGACCUCGUUUUCACCCUACAAUCUCUGCAAAUCGAGCAAAUUCAGUCAAAAAAAAAAAGACUCCAAGUGCUCGUUGCAGUCGCGUUUUGAAUACCAUCCAAACCUUUGCACGUCUCAGCGUCUACUAAGAAACAGACCUCUGCUUGCUCUUUCUUUAGGAGGAUUAGCCUGAAAGAAGAAUAAUAAAAGGACCUAAGCUUUCUUCCGAGGCGAUGUUAUGGUUGUAGAAUGGGCAAGAAGAAGAGAAAGUGGGUUUUACAAGCAAGUUUUGGGAUAAUGGCGGUGAGCCGAAAGGAGAAGUGGACCGAGGAGAGGCAGAGUUUGAUCUUUCGAGCGAGUAGUUUUAAGGGGAAAAAAAUAUUAAGAGCGAGUGAACGGAGAGGAAUCGGUGUGAAAUUGUAGCUAGAAAUAUGUUAUAAAAAGGUUGAGAACCGAAGAAGCUAACAAGCACAACAUGUGUGAUUGCGCACCUUUUGAAUAGAG
rnacentral:misc_RNA from 1 species